CCCUUCACUGGACUUGGUACAUUCUGAGGGGGAGGAGGCAGCCCAGCUCAGAGGAUAAAAGAGCAGACUCCCUGUGCCUCUGUUUUCAUUCAAGAGUCCAGGAGCUGAGGAGAGUGUGAGAGCUGGUGUGUGGUGAGAGUUCUGACACACUAUGGCUGCGUUUGCAUCAUCCAGGACUUUGGAGGCAAGAAUGGGAGACAUGUCACAACUGCCGUGAUGGUCUGGAAAACACUACAUGGCAAAUCCUUGAGCUGAACACCCUGGAUUCUUUUAAAAAUGAUGAAUAAAAGGCUGCUGUGAAUCAACUAGCAACCCAACAGUUUAUGACAUGAUAAUUACUCAUGUUAAACCAGCCUAUUUUUA